CAGAGUUAUACAACUCCCAUACCAUUUGCCAACUUACUCAGUUAUGCCUCGGCGUAAGCUCCGUACGGGGCUGCUGGGUGCGUUGCGGGCGACAGCUACCCUGUAGCUUACCCUGUAGCGCUACCCUGUAGCGUACCCUGCGGCGGCCCGCCGGUGGAAACGAAACUCUUGUUUUAUUGUAUCGUCUGAGCGUCUUAUUUUAAUAAGUUA
rnacentral:misc_RNA from 1 species